AAGCCUGUGGCUCAAUGGUAGAGCGUUCGACUCCAAUACCAAAGGUCGCGAGUUCGAAUCCCAGGUAUU
rnacentral:tRNA from 1 species